UACCAGCACCCCGAGUGGUCGGGACGUUUAUUGGGCCUAAAGCAUCCGUAGCCGGUUCUACAAGUCUUCCGUUAAAUCCACCUGCUUAACAGAUGGGCUGCGGAAGAUACUAUGGAGCUAGGAGGCAGGAGAGGCAAGCGGUACUCAGUGGGUAGGGGUAAAAUCCGUUGAUCCAUUGAAGACCACCAGUGGCGAAGGCGGCUUGCCAGAAUGCGCUCGACGGUGAGGGAUGAAAGCUGGGGAGCAACCGG
rnacentral:rRNA from 1 species